rnacentral:rRNA from 1 species
UACGUAGGGGGCUAGCGUUGUCCGGAUUUAUUGGGCGUAAAGAGCGUGUAGGCGGCCAGGUAGGUCUGCUGUGAAAACUCGAGGCUCAACCUCGAGACGUCGGCGGAAACCAUCUGGCUAGAGUCCGAAAGAGGAGAGUGGAAUUCCUGGUGUAGCGGUGAAAUGCGCAGAUAUCAGGAAGAACACCCGUGGCGAAGGCGGCUCUCUGGGACGGUACUGACGCUGAGACGCGAAAGCGUGGGGAGCGAACAGG